ACCAUUGCCAAGUAUUCGACUGACGAACUAAGUAACACACCUCUCUUCCUUUUUCUUGUGGAAAAUCCGUUUCAUGUCUAGCCUCAGCAGCAAGGACCUCCGUUAUUUCGUGCUUAACCGCUCACAGGUCGAACGAGAGAAAGCUUUUUCGGCUGAAAGCUCUACUAUGCGCAUGCGAUCGGAGCAAUCCACUGAUAACGGUACAGCUGGGCUAGCGUGAUAAGAUACCCUUUUCACAAAAGCGUAGUCAGAAUAUAACCGGAAGAUCAUAAAGUUCAUUCGACUCCAUUAAGGUCUCCCGCCAAUAGGCAACGAACGACUGAAGAAAACGCCAAAGAGUGCAGCUGCUGGUCAAGAGUGCCUGUGCGAGUGUGGCGGCGGGGUGCUGUAGUACUGAACAUAGCAUGCAAUCAUGAGGAGUGAACGUAGUGAAGGCGCGACACUGUGGCACAUU